CCCGCCGUAGCUCAGUGAUAGAGCAUCUGCCUUUUAAGCAGAGGGGCGGUGGUUUGAGUCCACCCGGCGGGACCA
rnacentral:tRNA from 1 species